GGUUCCAUAGUGUGGCGGUUAGCAUGUCUGCUUUACAUGCAGAAGGUCCUGGGUUUGCGCCCCAGUGGAGACA
rnacentral:tRNA from 1 species